CAGCACCGAGCCCAAAGCCUCCCACGUCCUCACGGGGCAAGCAGACCGCCCGCCCCCGGGCAUUGGAAGAAGCGCGGCCUUCACCUCCUGGGCUGGCCGGGGAGCAGGCAGCGCGCCCUGCAGCCAGCAGGAGCCCCAAGCACUGCCCGCCUGCAGCAGGCUCGGAUCGGUACCGGGACAACCCACGUGCGCUGCCUUCUGCUUCGCCCUUGCAAUCAGCCCGGCCCAGCUGCAGGUGUGUGCGGUGAGGACACGCGGGCAGGCUCGGCGCCUUGUGCUGCCGCGCGCCUGGCGGUGAGGGCUGAGCCCCGGCCCCGCUGCGGGGCCGUAGGACGCUGCUAUUCGGUCCCAGCCUGCUGCUUUCCCCAGGACGCGGGUUUUGCCGCUCCCCAAGCGAGGCCGUGCGGAGGGCAGCCCCGGAUCAUCAUUAGGCCAGCACGCUCUGCACUGAUGGAAUCUCCUCUUGCUGAUGUUGGCUGUGCUGGAAAGGCGCUUCCUGGCACUCUGCAAAGCUGACCCCGGGCUGUGCUCUGACAUCAAUGACCGGAUUGGCACGUUCCUUCUGCACAGCUUGCACAUGAACCUGAGCCAUGGCCAGAGGAGAACUGGAAGCAAGAUGUUUGCAGAAUGAGCUCCAGACCUGAUGGUGGGAGCAGGGGUCACUGAGUAGCACGACAGCCUGCCUUGGAGGUUUGAUGUUGUACUGGGAGCACACUGCAGUAUUGUUUGAGAUGGAUCUGAUGGUCGGGGUUACCUUGGAAAACAUGAAAAUCAGAAUUCUUCCUCUGGUUGCAAGAAGGUUUUACAAAUGGAGACGACUUAGUCCUGGCAUCCUGGCUGCAUUCCAGAAGACAUAAACUUUAUUCGUUACAUGACUCUUUCAUGCAAUUUCCAGUGGACAUGAUAAAUUUGAUCUCUUGUGGUUGUAUACGAGGAGCUGUUGUGUUUGACCUUUGCAAUGAUUACAUUUUGAUGGCAAAGUGCUAAAUAAGUUCCGCUGGGGUCCUUCCGGAUAAAAAUGCCAUGCAAAUUUAUUCUUUACGUUAGAUUUA
rnacentral:lncRNA from 1 species